rnacentral:rRNA from 1 species
AUAGAUUAUUGCAAUUAUUAAUCUUGAACGAGGAAUUCCUAGUAAACGCAGAUCAUCAGUCUGCAUUGAUUACGUCCCUGCCCUUUGUACACACCGCCCGUCGCACCUACCGAUUGAAUGGUCCGGUGAAGGCUCGGGAUUGCAGCUAAUGCCUUUACUGGUGUUGGUUUCAAGAACUUGUCUAAACCUUAUCAUUUAGAGGAAGGUGAAGUCGUAACAAGGUUUCCGUAGGUGAACCUGCGGAAGGAUCAUUACCACACAAUAAUCCAAACCGCGCNUACAUUAAACCCAUAGGCUCUGGCCCUGCUAACUAGUGGUAAACCCCUCUGUAACCCAUCGAGUCUCUCUGGUGUUUACGACCUUAUAAGAUCUCAUUAUGUGCCACUGCCGUGAUGAUGCAACCUGGAGGCCAACGAGUACGAUCCACCAAUUUAAAUUCAAUCGACAGCUUGACGAGAGUCAAGUUUAAAAGUAUAACAUUCCAAUACAACUUUCAGCAAUGGAUGUCUUGGUUCCCAACACAAUGAAGAACACAGCGAAAUGUGAUACGUAAUACGAAUUGCAAGACUUUGUGAAUCAUUGAAUUUUUGAACGCAUAUUGCGCUGCCAGAUUCUUUCUGGGAGCAUACACGACAGAGUAUCAUCAAACCCCAAUCUAUAACAUUAUUUGUUAUGGGCAAGUGAAGUUGGCUUUAAACAAAGCACUCCUUCUAAGUUAUUUAGUGCAGAGGUAUUUUCACAUUGUAGGAAACUCAGUGUAUUUGUUUCAACGUGCUAUUGGUCAAAAUUCACUUUUUGACUGUCUUCUUAACUGAUCUCUGGCUGUGUAGGACUACCCGCUGAAUUU